CACGCUUAACACAUGCAAGUCGAACGACGGUGUUUCUUCGGGAACAUACGGAGUGGCAGACGGGUGAGUAAUGUGCAGGAACAUACCCUUGAGUGGGGGAUAGCGUCUGGAAACGGACGGUAAUACCGCAUAACAUAGCGAUAUCAAAGCCCUGAAAGGGGUGCUUGAGGAGUGGCCUGCAUCAGAUUAGGUAGUUGGUAGGGUAAAAGCCUACCAAGCCUGUGAUCUGUAGCUGAUCUGAGAGGAUGAUCAGCCACACUGGGACUGAGACACGGCCCAGACUCCUACGGGAGGCAGCAGUGGGGAAUAUUGGACAAUGGGCGCAAGCCUGAUCCAGCCAUGCCGCGUGAGUGACGAAGGUCUUCGGAUUGUAAAGCUCUUUUGCCAGGGACGAUAAUGACGGUACCUGGAGAAUAAGCCCCGGCUAACUUCGUGCCAGCAGCCGCCGUAACAC
rnacentral:rRNA from 1 species